rnacentral:rRNA from 1 species
CAGUAGCCGCGGGAAUACGAGGGGGGCAAGCGUUGUUCGGAAUUAUUGGGCGUAAAGGGUGCGUAGGCGGUCUGAUAAGUCUUAUGUGAAAUCUAUGGGCUCAACCCAUAGUCUGCAUAGGAAACUGUCAGGCUUGAGGAUGGGAGAGGUGAGUGGAAUUUCCGGUGUAGCGGUGAAAUGCGUAGAUAUCGGAAGGAACACCUGUGGCGAAAGCGGCUCACUGGACCAUUACUGACGCUGAUGCACGAAAGCUAGGGGAGCAAACAGGAUUAGAUACCCCCGUAGUCCCUGUCUCUUAUAC